GAUGAACGCUGGCGGCAUGCCUAAUACAUGCAAGUCGAACGAGAGGAAGGAAAGCUUGCUUUCCUGAAUCUAGUGGCGAACGGGAGAGUAACACGUAGGUAACCUGCCCAUGUGCCCGGGAUAACUUCUGGAAACGGAUGCUAAAACCGGAUAGGUAACAGACAAGCAUUUGACUGCUAUUAAAGUGGCCUUGGCCAUGAACAUGGAUGGACCUGCGGUGCAUUAGCUGGUUGGUGAGGUAACGGCCCACCAAGGCGACGAUGCAUAGCCGGCCUGAGAGGGCGGACGGCCACAUUGGGACUGAGACACGGCCCAAACUCCUACGGGAGGCAGCAGUAGGGAAUUUUCGUCAAUGGGGGGAACCCUGAACGAGCAAUGCCGCGUGAGUGAGGAAGGUCUUCGGAUCGUAAAGCUCUGUUGUAAGAGAAAAACGGCACUCAUAGGGAAUGAUGAGUGAGUGAUGGUAUCUUACCAGAAAGUCACGGCUAACUACGUGCCAGCCGCCGCGGUAA
rnacentral:rRNA from 1 species